GAUGAACGCUGGCGGCAUGCCUAACACAUGCGAGUCGAUCGGUAAGGCUCUUCGGAGUACUCGAUAGGCGGACGGAUGAGUAACUCGUAGGAACACACCCUGCAGUGAGGGAUAAGUCACCGAAAGGUGUUCUAAUACCGCAUACGGUCUUCGGAUUAAAGCAUUUAUGCGCUGAAGGAGUGGCCCGCGUCCUAUUAGAUAGUUGGUGAGGUAAUGACUCACCAAGUCGAUGAUGUGUAGCUGGUCUGAGAGGAUGAUCAGCCAGACUGGAGCUGAGACACAGUCCGGACUCCUACGGGAGGCAGCAGUGAGGAAUAUAUCACAAUGGGCGAAAGGUUGAUGGUGCAAUGCCGCGAGAAGGAUGAAAGCCGUCGGGUUGUAAACUGCUUUUAUAAGAGAAGGUUAUGACGGUAACUAAUGAAUAAGGGACGGCUAACUACGUG
rnacentral:rRNA from 1 species